rnacentral:rRNA from 1 species
UACAGAGGGUGCGAGCGUUGUUCGGAAUUACUGGGCGUAAAGCGUGCGUAGGCGGUUUCUUAAGUCCGUUGUGAAAGCCCUGGGCUCAACCUGGGAACUGCAGUGGAUACUGAGAGGCUAGAGUGUGUCAGAGGAUGGUGGAAUUCCCGGUGUAGCGGUGAAAUGCGUAGAGAUCGGGAGGAACAUCAGUGGCGAAGGCGGCCAUCUGGGACAACACUGACGCUGAGGCACGAAAGCGUGGGGAGCAAACAGG